rnacentral:rRNA from 1 species
UCCUACGGGUGGCUGCAGUGGGGAAUAUUGCACAAUGGGCGAAAGCCUGAUGCAGCAACGCCGCGUGAGCGAUGAAGGCCUUUGGGUCGUAAAGCUCUGUCCUUGGGGAAGAAAAAAAUGACGGUACCCUUGGAGGAAGCCCCGGCUAACUACGUGCCAGCAGCCGCGGUAAUACGUAGGGGGCAAGCGUUAUCCGGAAUUAUUGGGCGUAAAGAGUGCGUAGGUGGUUUUGUAAGCGCGGGGUGAAAGGCUAUGGCUCAACCAUAGUAAGCCUUGCGAACUGCAAGACUUGAGUGCAGGAGAGGAAAGCGGAAUUCCUAGUGUAGCGGUGAAAUGCGUAGAUAUUAGGAGGAACACCAGUGGCGAAGGCGGCUUUCUGGACUGUAACUGACACUGAGGCACGAAAGCGUGGGGAGCAAACAGGAUUAGAUACCCUAGUAGUC